AUUGAACGCUGGCGGCAUGCCUUACACAUGCAAGUCGAACGGCAGCACGGGAGCUUGCUCCUGGUGGCGAGUGGCGAACGGGUGAGUAAUACAUCGGAACGUACCCUGAAGUGGGGGAUAACGUAGCGAAAGUUACGCUAAUACCGCAUAUUCUGUGAGCAGGAAAGCAGGGGACCGCAAGGCCUUGCGCUCUUUGAGCGGCCGAUGUCAGAUUAGCUAGUUGGUGAGGUAACGGCUUACCAAGGCGACGAUCUGUAGCGGGUCUGAGAGGAUGAUCCGCCACACUGGAACUGAGACACGGUCCAGACUCCUACGGGAGGCAGCAGUGGGGAAUUUUGGACAAUGGGCGCAAGCCUGAUCCAGCCAUGCCGCGUGAGUGAAGAAGGCCU
rnacentral:rRNA from 1 species